GAGGGCCGCAGUUCGGAGGAAUGGAACACAGCUGGGUUUUCUUCUGGAAACGGUGGAGUUACAGUGGUUUGGUUAUCGUGGUUUCAGUUGGCAGAACAUUAGUGGAGUAAUUUUUAGGAUGGUCUCAGGGGGGGCUUCCCCUGAUAUACUACUUAUUCACGGUGGGGGUAACGAUUUGGGAUUGAUUCCUCAGAGGGAACUAAUUAGGAGAAUGAAACGGGACCUGGAUCGGCUACGGGAGCUGGUGCCUGGUGUGGUGGUAGUAUGGUCCGAGAUGGUGCCGAGGUUUAAUUGGAGACAUGCCAGGGACUCAGCUGCUGUGGCGCGAUGCCGGGGAAAAGUGAAUAGAGCGAUGUCAGUUUUCGUCCGGAGGUCGGGCGGGGUUACAGUACGACACUGGGAGUUAGAGGGCAUGUUGCCUGGGUACUUUCGCAAGGAUGGGGUACACCUUUCCGAAGUGGGGUGCGAUUUGCUAAAUUUAGGUUUUCAGGAGGGCAUAGCUCAAGCCCUAUUUUUGUAUGGUGGGGGGCGCUCGAGACGUUAAGGUAUCAAGUCUCGGGCUAUGGCGGGAUAGGGCUAGGGUAAUUGGGAUGGAAGAGGAGUAGUAAGUGGCUAGGCUAAGGUUAGGCUGUAUUAGGCCAGAGUGG